UGGAAAGAACUAACAAGGAUUCCCCUAGUAACUGCGAGUGAAGCGGGAAAAGCUCAAAUUUAAAAUCUGGCGGUUUCACCGUCCGAGUUGUAAUCUGGAGAAGCGUUUUCCGUGUCGGACCGUGUACAAGUCUCUUGGAACAGAGCGUCAUAGAGGGUGAGAAUCCCGUUUUAUGGCACGGACACCCGAUACUUUGUGAUACGUUUUCUAAGAGUCGAGUUGUUUGGGAAUGCAGCUCAAAAUGGGUGGUAAAUUCCAUCUAAAGCUAAAUAUAGGCGAGAGACCGAUAGCGAACAAGUACCGUGAGGGAAAGAUGAAAAGCACUUUGGAAAGAGAGUUAAACAGUACGUGAAAUUGUUGAAAGGGAAACGCUUGAAGUCAGUCGCGUCUUCUAGGACUCAGCCUUACUUCGGUUAGGUGUACUUCCUGGUUUGACGGGUCAACAUCGAUUUUGAUCGACGGAUAAAGGAGAAGGGAACGUGGCACCUCCGGGUGUGUUAUAGCCCUCUUCGUAUACGUCGAUUGGAUCGAGGACUGCAGCACGCCCUUGUGGCCGGGGGUUCGCCCUACGUAUCGUGCUUAGGAUGUUGACAUAAUGGCUUUAAGCGACCCGUCUUGAAACACGGACCAAGGAGUCUAACAUGCUCGCGAGUGUUAGGGUGGAAAACCCUUGCGCGUAAUGAAAGUGAAAGUUGGGACCUCUGCGAGGAGGGCACCGACGCCCGGCCCUGAAGUUCUCUGACGGUGCUGCGGUAGAGCGCGUAUGUUGGGACCCGAAAGAUGGUGACCUAUGCCUGAAUAGGGCGAAGCCAGAGGAAACUCUGGUGGAGGCUCGUAGCGAUUCUGACGUGCAAAUCGAUCGUCAAAUUUGGGUAUAGGGGCGAAAGACUAAUCGAACCAUGC
rnacentral:rRNA from 1 species